GAUGAACGCUAGCGGCAGGCUUAAUACAUGCAAGUCGAGGGGUAACAUGGUAGCAAUACUGAUGACGACCGGCAAACGGGUGCGGAACACGUACAGAACCUUCCUUUAAGCGGGGAUAGCCCAUAGAAAUGUGGAUUAAUACCCACUAGUAAUAUUGACUGGCAUCAGUUGGUAUUUAAAGAUUUAUUCACUUAAAGAUGGCUGUGCGGCUGAUUAGGUAGUUGGGCGGGUAACGGCCCACCAAGCCAGCGAUCAGUAACUGGUGUGAGAGCACGACCAGUC
rnacentral:rRNA from 1 species